rnacentral:tRNA from 1 species
UGCAUCGGCCGGGAAUCGAACCCUGGCUGCCCACGUGGCUGGCGAGCAUUCUGCCACUGAACCACCGAUGC